UUUGUACAGAUGACCAUAGUCAAUUUAUAUUUACAUAUUUAGUCCUUUUUUGCCGCGCGAGUGCCAUUUUGGUAUUUGUUAAGUUGAACAAGAUGAUUCAAUCGCCGUGCUGAUCAUAUUUACAUCUUAGUCUCUCAUUUUUAAUUCAGGACUAUAAAAAAUAUAAAAAUAAAUACGACAGUUCAAUCGUCAUAUUUUAACACAAUGAUUGAAUCACUGUGUUCAACUUAAAAACAUCAUUUAGGCACUUGCGUAAAAAAUAAAGAGUUAUUUUUGUAAAUAUAAAUUUGUCAGGAC
rnacentral:lncRNA from 1 species